ACGUGGGGCUCCGGCCCCGCCGAGAUAGAACCCUUGCCUUUUCGAGUACCAAAACGUUUCCUCGGCGGGCUUGCCCGCCAACGGGGACACAAACAAACCCUUGAAUCACCAGUCACAGUCUGAGAAAACAAACAAAAAUCA
rnacentral:misc_RNA from 1 species